rnacentral:rRNA from 1 species
CAAACGACUCUCGGCAACGGAUAUCUCGGCUCUUGCAUCGAUGAAGAACGUAGCGAAAUGCGAUACUUGGUGUGAAUUGCAGAAUCCCGUGAACCAUCGAGUCUUUGAACGCAAGUUGCNCCCGAGGCCAUUAGGUCGAGGGCACGUCUGCCUGGGCGUCACAC